GAUGUUUGAUGGAAGACAUAUUAGAUGAAAAUUCUUUGGUGAGUUAGUUCCUUAGGAAGAACCUGGAAUUGUGAAGAAGCUCUGUGUCAACUUCUGCUUCCAUAAAAAAGAAGAGGUUUUUAUGACUGAAAUCACCCAUGCUACUUCUUCUGGCACUACCUCACUGAUAUCCUAGGUCUCCAUUGUUGUGCGGUAGUCUCUGCACAAAGAAGAAGAAAUGAAGGUAAAUGAAGACGCUUCAUUCUAAAGACUCUAACAUUAUAGAAGAUCGUGAUGAUUAUUGUCCAAGGAGAUCCACCACUGCCAUCCCAAGACAAAGUUAGCAGGAAGGACAAUCUUCAGGAUGGACCCAAGACUCCAGGGAUCAGGGGAAUUCA
rnacentral:lncRNA from 1 species